rnacentral:rRNA from 1 species
UAGGGAAUCUUCCGCAAUGGGCGAAAGCCUGACGGAGCAACGCCGCGUGGGUGAUUAAGGUCUUCGGAUCGUAAAACUCUGUUAUUAGGGAAGAACAAAUGUGUAAGUAACUAUGCACGUCUUGACGGUACCUAAUCAGAAAGCUAUGGCUAACUACGUGCCAGCAGCCGCGGUAAUACGUAGGUGGCAAGCGUUAUCCGGAAUUAUUGGGCGUAAAGCGCGCGUAGGCGGGUUUUUAAGUCUGAUGUGAAAGCCCACGGCUCAACCGUGGAGGGUCAUUGGAAACUGGAAAACUUGAGUGCAGAAGAGGAAAGUGGAAUUCCAUGUGUAGCGGUGAAAUGCGCAGAGAUAUGGAGGAAAACCAGUGGCGAAGGCGACUUUCAGGUCUGUACCUGACGCUGAUGUGCGAAAGCGUGGGAAUCAAACAGG